UACAAACAGAAUGCAAGACAUUGAGGCCUUGUUUGGUUCACAUGAAUGGCUUAGUUAUUCCUCCCUUAUUCAAUGAAGUAAAACUAUUCAAGGGUUCGGUUGGCUGUAAAACCUAUUUCAUUGAAUAGCCAUUACAGCCUGAUUUCUCAAAACCACUGAAUAACAAUUCAAUGCCAUCUCUAAUGAAUGGCUAUUCAACGCUUCCAGUAAUAUACAAAAUUAUUUUUCUUUCCUUUUAUACCCAUCUUACAUCAUCUUCAAACUCCCAACUCCCAUCUGAGAUUUUUCCAAUAAAUCUCAAAGAUUAUCGUGUGAGAAUGAAUUUUUUUUGUUUUAUUUAAACUUUCUCUUCUUACUUUCUCUUUACCCUCACCAUUCUCCCAAUAUACCUGUGUAGAACGUUUGGAGUGAGCAAGAAGAGGGGUUUGAAAGAACAACAACAGCCACCAUGGCGAAGAAGAUCAGUGUAAAAAAGAAAGCCUUGAUUCCAGGUUAAAUCAAAUCCUCAAGAAUGGCAUUCACUAUAUCAGGAAAGCUAAAGCUGGAAGAUGCUAUUCGGGCUACGUUUUCUUCUCUACCUGAUGAAGUUGUGGAUACUAUUGGUGUUAUAGCUCUACCAUUUGAAGAUUCUGUUUCAGAAAGGAGAAGGAAGCUGGAGUACCUUGAGAUGCAGAAAGAACUGAUCAAGGUUGAAAAAGAGGAGAAAGAGAAAGAAGAAGAAGAAGAGCUAGCAAGGAUAAAGGAAACUAAGGCUAGAAAAAAGGAUAUGGCAUUGAAAGAGAUGACUGCCCCAACAGCUAGAGAAGCACAAGAAUAGGCUAUAACAAGAGCGCUAGAAAAAAGAGAUCAGCUUUGUGAAAUCAGUUGUGCAUUGGUUGUUUUAGCUUCAGCGUCUUCUGUGAGUAGAGAGCGAGAAGAGUUCCUUAGUCUUGUAAAUAAGGAGAUAGAACUUUAUAAUAGCAUGUAGACAAAAAGGGUACAGAUGGUGAAAAAGAUGCCAUUAAGGCAUAUAGAGUUGUAAAAGAGGAAACUGACCAUUCUGGUGAAGUGUCUGAUAGUGAUGAGGUUUUUUCAGUGCUUAUUGAAAAAGCAAGAAAUGGUUGAUGCUAUGCUCCAAAAUCUUGAAAAGGAAAUAGAUGAUGUAAAUGCCAAAAUUGGUGAUCAUUGGCGAGUACUUGACAGGAAAGUCCCUCCUGAGGAGGUGGCUGUUGCUGCUCAAUACUUAAAGGAUACGCUAGGAAAGGAGGGUGUGCAAGUUGAUAAUCUGUUGAUGAGGAACAAGUGUUUUAAUUUAACUAUAUAAAAAUAUAAAUGAUAUGUUUAUAAAGAUGAUAAUCUGUUGAUUCAGUCAUGGUUGUAGAUGGAUCUUUACAUAAACUUGAUUUUUAUUAUAUAAAAGAUAAAAGAAAUUUAUUAAAGGAAGAAAAGAGUGCAAGGAA